GGCCGGGUUCUGCGCAACGGGAACCCGUGAACCGAGUCAGGGUCGGAAGACAGCAGCUCUCAGCGGAUCUUCUCGUGUGCCGCAGGGGACCUGGCUGCU
rnacentral:SRP_RNA from 1 species